rnacentral:lncRNA from 1 species
UUCAGCACCAUUAUAAAAAACAAACGAUCUCUCUCAUUUUCCUUAUGAUAUGAUGAUUCAUUUUCCCGGUAGUAAUUUUUGAAUUCUUAGCAUUUCAUCUUGGAAUAAAAUCUCAGAUCCACCUUAUCUCAUCUGAUCUCAUUUCAUUUCAUCUCAUUGAAUAUCGCCGUUUUUCAACACCGGGAUAAUGCUUCUGAUCUGGAGAAGGACAGACUAUAGAUUUCGUUGCUUCUUGCCGUGGGUGUUCAUGAGUUGGAGGAAUUUCACAACCAAGCAUUAUUACUAUAACCAAAAAUUGGAGUUCAUAAUGGUAGUGCAGGUCCUCAACCCCAAUGAACGUUUACCCCAAUGCACACCAAGAACAUAUAGUAUCCAGUGGUUCAAGCUCCUUCAACAAUGAGUUACUAUCAUCAGAACCCAGUUUCUUGGCCAUUCGCUACAUCAGCAAUGCCCUUUCACCAACCCAACAACCAUUUAUACUCCGAUGUUCAGAUUUUGGGUUGGUGUUGCUGGAUGCAUAGAGAGUUGUUUACAGUUGCUUCUCCUCUUCUUUCCUUUUCCUUCUUUUUUAUUUUGCCCUUGUAUUGAUAAUUCAGAUUUGUGACUCUUAUAUGAGCUUGGAAAUCGAUUGAUAAGUUAGCGGCAGGAACGACUUUAACGAAACGAAAACUUUCUUUUUUUUGUUCUUAGCAGUGCUGUAGAGCAGCUUCAUCGUGGUUUCCAGCGUUUUUUGGCUGUACCAAGCGAAGGUGACGACGGCUGCAAUCUUUUAAUGGUUGGAAGUAGGGUUUGUGUUGAUGUUUCUAUGGACUAGGGUUUGUUCUUAGGCUCAUAACUGUAAUGAUAUUCUCUUUAUUUUCUUGUCUUUCUUUGGACCUUCCUACGUAUUCACUCUUUCAAUAAUAAUAAAAUGUUACUGAUUUGUCAAG